UACGUAGGGUGCAAGCGUUAUCCGGAAUUAUUGGGCGUAAAGAGCUCGUAGGCGGUUUGUCGCGUCUGCUGUGAAAACUGGGGGCUCAACCCCCAGCCUGCAGUGGGUACGGGCAGACUAGAGUGCGGUAGGGGAGAUUGGAAUUCCUGGUGUAGCGGUGGAAUGCGCAGAUAUCAGGAGGAACACCGAUGGCGAAGGCAGAUCUCUGGGCCGUAACUGACGCUGAGGAGCGAAAAGCAUGGGGAGCGAACAGG
rnacentral:rRNA from 1 species